ACGCUGGCGGCGUGCUUAACACAUGCAAGUCGAACGGAAAGGCCCUGCUUUUGUGGGGUGCUCGAGUGGCGAACGGGUGAGUAACACGUGAGUAACCUGCCCUUGACUUUGGGAUAACUUCAGGAAACUGGGGCUAAUACCGGAUAGGAGCUCCUGCUGCAUGGUGGGGGUUGGAAAGUUUCGGCGGUUGGGGAUGGACUCGCGGCUUAUCAGCUUGUUGGUGGGGUAGUGGCUUACCAAGGCUUUGACGGGUAGCCGGCCUGAGAGGGUGACCGGCCACAUUGGGACUGAGAUACGGCCCAGACUCCUACGGGAGGCAGCAGUGGGGAAUAUUGCACAAUGGGCGGAAGCCUGAUGCAGCAACGCCGCGUGCGGGAUGACGGCCUUCGGGUUGUAAACCGCUUUCGCCUGUGACGAAGCGUGAGUGACGGUAAUGGGUAAAGAAGCACCGGCUAACUACGUGCCAGCAGCCGCGGUGAUACGUAGGGUGCGAGCGUUGUCCGGAUUUAUUGGGCGUAAAGGGCUCGUAGGUGGUUGAUCGCGUCGGAAGUGUAAUCUUGGGGCUUAACCCUGAGCGUGCUUUCGAUACGGGUUGACUUGAGGAAGGUAGGGGAGAAUGGAAUUCCUGGUGGAGCGGUGGAAUGCGCAGAUAUCAGGAGGAACACCAGUGGCGAAGGCGGUUCUCUGGGCCUUUCCUGACGCUGAGGAGCGAAAGCGUGGGGAGCGAACAGGCUUAGAUACCCUGGUAGUCCACGCUGUAAACGGUGGGUACUAGGUGUGGGGUCCAUUCCACGGGUUCCGUGCCGUAGCUAACGCUUUAAGUACCCCGCCUGGGGGAGUACGGCCGCAAGGCUAAAACUCAAAGGAAUUGACGGGGCCCCGCACAAGCGGCGGAGCAUGCGGAUUAAUUCGAUGCAACGCGUAGAACCUUACCUGGGUUUGACAUGGAUCGGGAGUGCUCAGAGAUGGGUGUGCCUCUUUUGGGGUCGGUUCACAGGUGGUGCAUGGCUGUCGUCAGCUCGUGUCGUGAGAUGUUGGGUUAAGUCCCGCAACGAGCGCAACCCUUGUUCACUGUUGCCAGCACGUUAUGGUGGGGACUCAGUGGAGACCGCCGGGGUCAACUCGGAGGAAGGUGGGGAUGACGUCAAGUCAUCAUGCCCCUUAUGUCCAGGGCUUCACGCAUGCUACAAUGGCUGGUACAGAGAGUGGCGAGCCUGUGAGGGUGAGCGAAUCUCGGAAAGCCGGUCUCAGUUCGGAUUGGGGUCUGCAACUCGACCUCAUGAAGUCGGAGUCGCUAGUAAUCGCAGAUCAGCAACGCUGCGGUGAAUACGUUCCCGGGGCUUGUACACACCGCCCGUCAAGUCAUGAAAGUUGGUAACACCCGAAGCCGGUGGCCUAACCGUUGUGGGGGAGCCGUCGAAGGUGGGACUGGUGAUUAGGAC
rnacentral:rRNA from 1 species